rnacentral:tmRNA from 1 species
GCCCUUUUCAUUUGCGGAUCGAGAUCCUAUAUCCCUCCUGCCGGGUUCGCCCGGCUAUGAUGAUAAACUGCGGCGUGGAAUAGGCGCAGCGGACCCGGGGGCGGUACCCGGCGGCUCCACCAUCAUCUCCGCUCCGGCGGGGACGUUGACGGGGCCGAACUAGGAUCGACGUGUGUUCAAAGGCGCUGUUUUCAUCCGGGCUGAGUAACCCGUAAAAGGCUCAAAACCCAUAAGUGCCAACGAUAACGAAGCACUUGCUCUCGCUGCGUAAUUCUAGGGGCUAACGCCCUGAAGUUACAAGGUUAGAACGCGGUCGGGCCGACCGGGCAACAGAACGGAUUCCAGCGGCUUGGGGGGUGCCGGGCAACAGAAACCCCCUACC